CUUACAAUUAGCUCUCUUAUCAGCUUGAUUGGAGAGGAGAAGGCUGCCAGUGGCCACAGGGGUGCAGCCUGUCCCCUGCAUGGUCCCCACGAUGCAUCAAGAGCUGGGAGCAUCUAGGGGCAAAAUAAGAAAUGAGGCCAGGACUGAGCUCUUCAUUUGCCAGUUUUGACCUGCAAAGCCUGGGGCUGCUUCCCCCUAGCACAGGGGACGGACAGCCCGAAGGACUGUGGGGACAUGCAUCAUGUCAGGUUUCCUUGGGUCCAGGGAGCAGCUUGGCUGACUGGCAGAUGAGGUCAUGGCCACCCCGCUGCUGGCUAACUGCAGCUACUUCUGCCAGCCAGUGGACUACAGAUGGAGCAAGCAUGGAAUGAGGGCAUCUUCCUGGAGACAGGAAGGUAGGCAUUGUGGAAUCAGCGGUGCGUAGAACAGUGAGGAUUUGGGGCUGAACCCAGCCCAGGUGGGACAAGCCGUGGCACCAGCCGGACUGCAGUCUGAUGGAACUUCCCCUUCCUGCCCAGCAGAUGGCGAGCGUGUGCUGCUGGUGCCUCUUUCCAAAGGACGUUGAAUUGCUUGACAGCCCUGCCCAGCAUCUAGAAGACCACAUGAAGCUUUCACACUUUGAGACCUUAGAUCCUACGAGGGUUUGAAUUUCAAAAGCUUCAAUUAAAGCGCACAGUGUUCCAGGUGUUCUUUACUUUAUGAAUGAAGCCGGAGCAGCCCACCUUCCUGCAUCUCUACCACCAUGGCACCAUGCCCUGUGAUGGGUGGGCUGGAGUCAAAUACGUAGCAGGCAACCAGGGUCAGUUUGUGGCCACUGCUGCCCCCUCUUCCUACAGUCUCCUCACUGAGUGCCCCUUCCCUGUUGGGUUCAACACAUCUGUGCUCCUGUAAGCCCUCAGCCUCCUGGUUCUCUUCCUCAACUUCUACCACCAGACACAUCUGAGAAGCAAGCAAGAGAGGCUGAACUAGGAGCAGGACCCAGGGACUGAAACCAUCACAGCAUCCCCACAGAGAAUUGGGUGGAAGGCAGCGUGGCUUCCAGCUUACUGGUGCUGAGCAGAUUUCUCUGGGUCUCCAUUGUAUCCUCUGAAGGAAGGAGGAGGAUUGCCUUCUGUCCAGAUCUCAGGAUCAAACAAAUAGGUCCAACUUCCUGUGCUCACUUCAGUUAGAGCACUUCUCAUGUGACUUUGUAGCUUUGUGUGCAUCUCCUUCCUCUACUAGACCUAAGCCCCUCACGGGAGGGACUCUCUUAUUCUUGAUGUUCCCCACACCUGGAAUUUCAAUAAACAUCUCAA
rnacentral:sRNA from 1 species